ACUGCUCAUUGUUAGAGCUUGGAGUUGAGACCACUGGUUGGCCAAUGAACUCACAAGCAUAGGUAGAGUGCUACAUGAGGGGCAAAUCUUUCAACAACACAAGGGUCUCUAGGCCCUUUGAGUAGCAUUUGAUAGCAAUCCUUAACACAAGU